UUUGCUGACGAGCGGCGGACGGGUGAGUAAUGCUUAGGAAUUUGCCCAGUCGAGGGGGAUAACCAUUGGAAACGAUGGCUAAUACCGCAUACGUCCUACGGGAGAAAGAAGGGGACCUUCGGGCCUUUCGCGAUUGGAUAAGCCUAAGUGAGAUUAGCUAGUUGGUGAGGUAAAGGCUCACCAAGGCGACGAUCUCUAGCUGGUCUGAGAGGAUGAUCAGCCACACUGGAACUGAGACACGGUCCAGACUCCUACGGGAGGCAGCAGUGGGGAAUAUUGCACAAUGGGCGCAAGCCUGAUGCAGCCAUGCCGCGUGUAUGAAGAAGGCCUUCGGGUUGUAAAGUACUUUCAGCAGUGAGGAAGGGUGCGAGCUUAAUACGUUCGUACUUUGACGUUAGCUGCAGAAGAAGCACCGGCUAACUCCGUGCCAGCAGCCGCGGUAAUACGGAGGGUGCGAGCGUUAAUCGGAAUUACUGGGCGUAAAGCGCAUGCAGGUGGUUUGUUAAGUCAGAUGUGAAAGCCCGGGGCUCAACCUCGGAAGGUCAUUUGAAACUGGCAGACUAGAGUACUGUAGAGGGGGGUAGAAUUUCAGGUGUAGCGGUGAAAUGCGUAGAUAUCUGAAGGAAUACCGGUGGCGAAGGCGGCCCCCUGGACAGAUACUGACACUCAGAUGCGAAAGCGUGGGGAGCAAACAGGAUUAGAUACCCUGGUAGUCCACGCUGUAAACGAUGUCUACUUGGAGGUUGUUCCCUUGAGGAGUGGCUUUCGGAGCUAACGCGUUAAGUAGACCGCCUGGGGAGUACGGUCGCAAGAUUAAAACUCAAAUGAAUUGACGGGGGCCCGCACAAGCGGUGGAGCAUGUGGUUUAAUUCGAUGCAACGCGAAGAACCUUACCUACUCUUGACAUCCAGAGAAGCUAGUGGAGACACUGGUGUGCCUUCGGGAGCUCUGAGACAGGUGCUGCAUGGCUGUCGUCAGCUCGUGUUGUGAAAUGUUGGGGUUAAGUCCCGCAACGAGCGCAACCCUUAUCCUUAAUUGCC
rnacentral:rRNA from 1 species